GACGAACGCUGGCGGCGUGCUUAACACAUGCAAGUCGAACGGACAGGCCCUGCUUUUGUGGGUUUCUCGAUUGGCGCACGCGUGAGUAACACGUGAGUAACCUGCCCUUGACUUUGUGAUAACUUCAGGAAACUGGGGCUCAUACCGGAUAUGAUCUCCUGCUGCAUGUUGUGGGUUGGUAAGUUUCGGCGGUUGUGGCUGGACUCGCUGCUUAUCAGCUUGUUGGUGUGGUAGUGGCUUACCAAGGGUUUGACGGGUAGCCGGCCUGAGAGGGUGACCGGCGACAUUGGGACUGAGAGACGGACCAGACUCCUACGGGAGGCAGCAGGGGGGAAUAUUGCACAAUGGGCGGAAGCCUGAUGCAGAAACGCCGCGUGCGGGAUGACGGCCUUCGGGUGGUAAACAGAUUUGGCAGGUGACGAAGCGGGAGUGACGGUAAUGGGUAAAGAAGCACCGGCUAACUACGUG
rnacentral:rRNA from 1 species